rnacentral:rRNA from 1 species
AUUGAACGCUGGCGGCAUGCCUAACACAUGCAAGUCGAACGGCAGCACAGCAGUAGCAAUACUGUGGGUGGCGAGUGGCGGACGGGUGAGGAAUACGUCGGAAUCUGCCCAGUCGUGGGGGAUAACUAGCCGAAAGGUUAGCUAAUACCGCAUACGACCGAGAGGUGAAAGCGGGGGACCGCAAGGCCUCGCGCGAUUGGAUGAGCCGACGUCGGAUUAGCUAGUUGGCGGGUAAAGGCCCACCAAGGCGACGAUCCGUAGCUGGUCUGAGAGGAUGAUCAGCCACACUGGAACUGAGACACGGUCCAGACUCCUACGGGAGGCAGCAGUGGGGAAUAUUGGACAAUGGGCGCAAGCCUGAUCCAGCAAUGCCGCGUGUGUGAAGAAGGCCUCGGUUGUAAG